rnacentral:lncRNA from 1 species
GUUGGGGCUCAGCAUGUUGAACCAGAGCACGGAGGCCCAGGCGCUGGAGAGCUGGUUGUUGUUGGAGAUGAUGACGAAGGGCAGCGUGGAGGUCUCAAGCUUCAGCUCCAGCCCACAGUAUGCAUAUGCCAGCGUGAAGGUGAUGAGAUGAAGCUCUUCAGUCACAGCCAGGGGACCCUCAUUGGUGCCUCUGCUGCCUUUGCCCGACCCUCCACCCUUCUGC